AGUGAACGCUGGCGGUAGGCCUAACACAUGCAAGUCGAACGGCAGCACAGUAAGAGCUUGCUCUUACGGGUGGCGAGUGGCGGACGGGUGAGGAUUACAUCGGAAUCUACUUUUUCGUGGGGGAUAACGUAGGGAAACUUACGCUAAUACCGCAUACGACCUACGGGUGAAAGCAGGGGAUCUUCGGACCUUGCGCGAUUGAAUGAGCCGAUGUCGGAUUAGCUAGUUGGCGGGGUAAAGGCCCACCAAGGCGACGAUCCGUAGCUGGUCUGAGAGGAUGAUCAGCCACACUGGAACUGAGACACGGUCCAGACUCCUACGGGAGGCAGCAGUGGGGAAUAUUGGACAAUGGGCGCAAGCCUGAUCCAGCCAUACCGCGUGGGUGAAGAAGGCCGUCGGGUUGUAAAGCCCUUUUGUUGGGAAAGAAAAGCAGCAGGUUAAUACCCCGCUGUUCUGACGGUACCCAAAGAAUAAGCACCGGCUAACUUCG
rnacentral:rRNA from 1 species